GCUCAGGAUGAACGCUAGCUACAGGCUUAACACAUGCAAGUCGAGGGGCAGCAUGGUCUUAGCUUGCUAAGGCUGAUGGCGACCGGCGCACGGGUGAGUAACACGUAUCCAACCUGCCGUCUACUCUUGGCCAGCCUUCUGAAAGGAAGAUUAAUCCAGGAUGGGAUCAUGAGUUCACAUGUCCGCAUGAUUAAAGGUAUUUUCCGGUGGACGAUGGGGAUGCGUUCCAUUAGAUAGUAGGCGGGGUAACGGCCCACCUAGUCAACGAUGGAUAGGGGUUCUGAGAGGAAGGUCCCCCACAUUGGAACUGAGACACGGUCCAAACUCCUACGGGAGGCAGCAGUGAGGAAUAUUGGUCAAUGGGCGAUGGCCUGAACCAGCCAAGU
rnacentral:rRNA from 1 species